GCUGGGCAUGGUGGUGGGUGCCUGUAGUCCCAGCUACUUGGGAGGCUGAGGCAGAAGAAUUGCUUGAACCUGGGAGGCAGAGCUUGCAGUGAGCCGAGAUCGUGCCACUGCACUCCAGCCUGGGUGACAGAGCAAGAUUCUGUCUCAA
rnacentral:SRP_RNA from 1 species